rnacentral:rRNA from 1 species
UACAGAGGUCCCGAGCGUUGUUCGGAUUCAUUGGGCGUAAAGGGUGCGUAGGCGGCGGGGCAAGUCUGAUGUGAAAUCCUGGGGCUCAACCCCAGAACUGCAUUGGAUACUGCCUUGCUAGAGUACUGGAGAGGGAACUGGAAUUUACGGUGUAGCAGUGAAAUGCGUAGAGAUCGUAAGGAAGGCCAGUGGCGAAGGCGAGUUCCUGGACAGUGACUGACGCGGAGGCACGAAGGCCAGGGGAGCAAACGGG